GAGGUUGUCGGUUAGAAUGCUGAAAACUGCUUUUGUACUUAAAUCUUAAAUGCAUUUAUUUAAUCUCAAGGAGUCUUUAAUGUUUGUGAUUUAGAAACGCAGACAAAGGCAUCCAUUGCGUUCAUGACACACCCAUUGUUUUGUCAGCUUGGGCAUUUGGCCAACCCGCAUUCUCAAAUAUCAUCCGAUGGCGACGUCUAGACCUCAAUUGAAGUUGACGAGGGAUGAGGUUAGGGAGAUGGAAUCCUCACUAAGCAAGGGGUGAUGCAAGCCAUAAACUCUAUGGGCGGGUGUACUAUGUCAUUCCAGAAAGCUCACUAUGGGAUUGCUUUUUCUGACAAAGAUGGUCUUCAUCUCAUUGAUCAGGAAAACGAGUUGGAGAAACUCGUCGACUAUCUCAUGAGGUUUUCUGCUGGAAAGAAAAAGCAGGAUGAUAAAUCGAGUCAAUCGACCAUGUAAUCUAUUUUCUAUUAUUUAUGUCUAUGUGUCCGGUCGUAUGUUUUUGAGUCAAUAUGGUUUAUGCUCUACAAUUGAGCACGUAUGUUGUUUGCUGUUGUACUUUGGUUGUCUGCUAUAAUAUUGCAUGUGUCACCCGUGGUAAAAUGUCUUCACGUUGUAUACAUGGUGAAGAAUAUUUAAUUUGAUUCCAACGGCUGUAUUUUUCCUAA